UACAGAGGUCCCGAGCGUUGUUCGGAUUCAUUGGGCGUAAAGGGCGCGCAGGCGGCCCUCCAAGUCAGGCGUGAAAGCCCCGGGCUCAACCCGGGAAUAGCGCUUGAGACUGGGGGGCUUGAGUUCGGGAGAGGAGAGUGGAAUUCCCAGUGUAGAGGUGAAAUUCGUAGAUAUUGGGAAGAACACCGGUGGCGAAGGCGGCUCUCUGGACCGACACUGACGCUGAGGCGCGAAAGCGUGGGGAGCAAACAGG
rnacentral:rRNA from 1 species